GGAAGCUCGGUAGGUUUGUUUUGCCGACACAUCCGGAACGGUUCCCAAGGUGUCCCAGGCUUUGCGCGGUGGCGAGGCGGCGGAUUCUGGUGGCCCAGGCGAUCGAGAUCUUCCCCGGCUCGCGAGAGUGCCCUCUUCUCCCACGGCUUCAAGGACCUAGUGGCAGCGAGGGCUUCGGUGUUUGGCUCGCGCGGGGUCGGGCAUCAGCUGGGGUGUCUCAGUCAAGACUCCCGAAACCAUGCCAACCGCAACGGCUCGCUGUCUCGCUCUCGAGAGCGCCCUUCUGGGCCCCUGGGCACCCCCUUUGCUUCUCCUCCGUCCACCUGUUAAGUGGGAGGUAAUAAAGCAGAGUGAUGAAGAGAACAGCUACCAGAUUCAGACCUGCAUGAGUUUGAAGCCCUGCUUUGCCACUUAAUAGAGGUAUGAUCUUGGGAAAGUUACUUAGCCUCUCUGAGCUUUAUUACUUCACCUAU
rnacentral:lncRNA from 1 species